UACGUAGGGUGCAAGCGUUAAUCGGAAUUACUGGGCGUAAAGCGUGCGCAGGCGGUUAUGUAAGACAGAUGUGAAAUGCCCGGGCUUAACCUGGGAACUGCAUUUGUGACUGCAUGGCUAGAGUUUGGCAGAGGGGGGUAGAAUCCACGUGUAGCAGUGAAAUGCGUAGAUAUGUGGAGGAACACCGAUGGCGAAGGCAGCCCCCUGGGUUAACACUGACGCUCAGGCACGAAAGCGUGGGGAGCAAACAGG
rnacentral:rRNA from 1 species